GAUUGAACGCUGGCGGCAGGCCUAACACAUGCAAGUCGAGCGGUAGCACAGAGAGCUUGCUCUCGGGUGACGAGCGGCGGACGGGUGAGUAAUGUCUGGGAAACUGCCUGAUGGAGGGGGAUAACUACUGGAAACGGUAGCUAAUACCGCAUAAYGUCGCAAGACCAAAGUGGGGGACCUUCGGGCCUCAUGCCAUCAGAUGUGCCCAGAUGGGAUUAGCUAGUAGGUGGGGUAAYGGCUCACCUAGGCGACGAUCCCUAGCUGGUCUGAGAGGAUGACCAGCCACACUGGAACUGAGACACGGUCCAGACUCCUACGGGAGGCAGCAGUGGGGAAUAUUGCACAAUGGGCGCAAGCCUGAUGCAGCCAUGCCGCGUGUGUGAAGAAGGCCUUCGGGUUGUAAAGCACUUUCAGCGGGGAGGAAGGCGAUAAGGUUAAUAACCUUGUCGAUUGACGUUACCCGCAGAAGAAGCACCGGCUAACUCCGU
rnacentral:rRNA from 1 species